GACGAACGCUGGCGGCGUGCUUAACACAUGCAAGUCGAACGGAAAGGCCCUGCUUUUGUGGGGUGCUCGAGUGGGGAACGGGUGAGUAACACGUGAGUAACCUGCCCUUGACUUUGGGAUAACUUCAGGAAACUGGGGCUAAUACCGGAUAGGAGCUCCUGCUGCAUGGUGGGGGUUGGAAAGUUUCGGCGGUUGGGGAUGGACUCGCGGCUUAUCAGCUUGUUGGUGGGGUAGUGGCUUACCAAGGCUUUGACGGGUAGCCGGCCUGAGAGGGUGACCGGCCACAUGGGGACUGAGAUACGGCCCAGACUCCUACGGGAGGCAGCAGUGGGGAAUAUUGCACAAUGGGCGGAAGCCUGAUGCAGCAACGCCGCGUGCGGGAUGACGGCCUUCGGGUUGUAAACCGCUUCCGCCUGUGACGAAGCGUGAGUGACGGUAAUGGGUAAAGAAGCACCGGCUAACUACGUG
rnacentral:rRNA from 1 species